CUGAAAUGCUGUUCGGUACUGACAUAUAGUGGCACAUAUAUUGUUUUUGCAUUAAGUCCACUUUUAAUCGAGCUGUUUUCCCAGUUGUUGCACAGUGAAUGACAAUAUCAAAGGUCCUGGUAGGCUUUCACAGCAUGGCAGCUGCUGAGAUGCUGUUUGGUACCGACAUAUAGUGGCACAUAUAGUGUUUUUGAAUUAAGUCCACUUUUAAUUGAGCUGUUUUCCCAGUUGUUGCACAGUGAAUGACAAUAUCAAAGGUCCUGGUAGGCUUUCACAGCAUGGCAGCUGCUGAGAUGCUGUUUGGUACCGACAUAUAGUGGCACAUAUAGUGUUUUUGAAUUAGGUCCACUUUUAAUCGAGCUGUUUUCCCAGUUGUUGCACAGUGCAUGACAAUAUCAAAGGUCCUGGUAGGCUUUCACUGCAUGGCAGCUGCUGAGAUUCUGUUCGGUACCGAUAUAUAGUGGCACAUAUAGUGUUUUUGCAUUAAGUCCACUUUUAAUCGAGCUGUUUUCCCAGUUGUUGCACAGUGAAUGACAAUAUCAAAGGUCCUGGUAGGCUUUCACAGCAUGGCAGCUGCUGAGAUGCUGUUUGGUACCGACAUAUAGUGGCACAUAUAGUGUUUUUGAAUUAAGUCCACUUUUAAUUGAGCUGUUUUCCCAGUUGUUGCACAGUGAAUGACAAUAUCAAAGGUCCUGGUAGGCUUUCACAGCAUGGCAGCUGCUGAGAUGCUGUUUGGUACCGACAUAUAGUGGCACAUAUAGUGUUUUUGAAUUAAGUCCACUUUUAAUCGAGCUGUUUUCCCAGUUGUUGCACAGUGAAUGACAAUAUCAAAGGUCCUGGUAGGCUUUCACAGCAUGGCAGCUGCUGAGAUGCUGUUUGGUACCG